GAUGAAGAACGUAGCGAAAUGCGAUAAGUAAUGUGAAUUGCAGAAUUCAGUGAAUCAUCGAAUCUUUGAACGCACAUUGCGCCCGCCAGCAUUCUGGCGGGCAUGCCUGUUCGAGCGUCAUUUCAACCCUCAAGCUCUGCUUGGUGUUGGGGCCCUACGGUUGACGUAGGCCCUUAAAGGUAGUGGCGGACCCUCUCGGAGCCUCCUUUACGUAGUAACUAACGUCUCGCAUUGGGAUUCGGAGGGACUCUUGCCGUAAAACCCCCAAAUUUUCUAAUGGUUGACCUCGGAUCAGGUAGGAAUACCAGCUGAACUUAAGCAUAUCAAUAAGCGGAGGA
rnacentral:misc_RNA from 1 species